rnacentral:rRNA from 1 species
AACGAACGCUGGCGGCAUGCCUAACACAUGCAAGUCGAACGAAGCCUUCGGGCUUAGUGGCGCACGGGUGCGUAACGCGUGGGAAUCUGCCUCUUGCUUCGGAAUAACAGUUAGAAAUGACUGCUAAUACCGGAUGAUGUCCCCCUGAGAGAUCUUGGGGACCAAAGAUUUAUCGGCAAGAGAUGAGCCCGCGUAGGAUUAGGUAGUUGGUGGGGUAAAGGCCUACCAAGCCGACGAUCCUUAGCUGGUCUGAGAGGAUGAUCAGCCACACUGGGACUGAGACACGGCCCAGACUCCUACGGGAGGCAGCAGUGGGGAAUAUUGGACAAUGGACGCAAGCCUGAUCCAGCAAUGCCGCGUGAGUGAUGAAGGCCUUAGGGUUGUAAAGCUCUUUUACCAGGGAUGAUAAUGACAGUACCUGGAGAAUAAGCUCCGGCUAACUCCGUGCCAGCAGCCGCCGUAAAAC